rnacentral:rRNA from 1 species
AGAGUUUGAUCCUGGCUCAGGACGAACGCUGGCGGCGCGCUUAACACAUGCAAGUCGAGCGAUGAAACUUUAACAGAACCCUUCGGGGCGAAGAUAAAGUGGAUUAGCGGCGGACGGGUGAGUAACACGUGAGUAACCUGCCUUAGACAUUGGGAUAGCCUCGGGAAACCGGGAUUAAUACCAAAUAAAAUCAUAAUGACACAUGUCAUAACGAUCAAAACUCCGGUGGUCUAAGAUGGACUCGCGUCCCAUUAGCUAGUUGGUAGAGUAAAAGCCUACCAAGGCGACGAUGGGUAGCCGGCCUGAGAGGGUGAACGGCCACAUUGGAACUGAGAAACGGUCCAAACUCCUACGGGAGGCAGCAGUGGGGAAUAUUGCACAAUGGAGGGAACUCUGAUGCAGCGACGCCGCGUGAACGAAGAAGGCUUUCGAGUCGUAAAGUUCUUUUAUAUGGGAAGAUAAUGACGGUACCAUAAGAAAAAGCCCCGGCUAACUACGUGCCAGCAGCCGCGGUAAUACGUAGGGGGCUAGCGUUGUCCGGAAUCACUGGGCGUAAAGGGUUCGCAGGCGGAAAUGCAAGUCAGAUGUAAAAGGCAGUAGCUUAACUACUGUAAGCAUUUGAAACUGCAUAUCUUGAGAAGAGUAGAGGUAAGUGGAAUUUUUAGUGUAGCGGUGAAAUGCGUAGAUAUUAAAAAGAAUACCGGUGGCGAAGGCGACUUACUGGGCUCAUUCUGACNCUGAGGAACGAAAGCGUGGGUAGCAAACAGGAUUAGAUACCCUGGUAGUCCACGCUGUAAACGAUGAGUGCUAGGUGUCGGCGAAUGUCGGUGCCGCAGUUAACACAAUAAGCACUCCGCCUGGGGAGUACGUGCGCAAGCAUGAAACUCAAAGGAAUUGACGGGGACCCGCACAAGCAGCAGAGAUGUGGAGGUAAGUGGAAUUUUUAGUGUAGCGGUGAAAUGCGUAGAUAUUAAAAAGAAUACCGGUGGCGAAGGCGACUUACUGGGCUCAUUCUGACGCUGAGGAACGAAAGCGUGGGUAGCAAACAGGAUUAGAUACCCUGGUAGUCCACGCUGUAAACGAUGAGUGCUAGGUGUCGGCGAAUGUCGGUGCCGCAGUUAACACAAUAAGC